UUGACAGCCCUGGAGACUGAAGUCCUCUAUCCCCCAAACAAGUACAAAUGGGCACCAAUAAAGAAGCAAUCUUUACUCCAUUUGCCCCUCCUGUGUCUCUCACUCCAGAGCUUGAAAAAUCACCUCUAGUGGUGAGUAAGGAAUUCACUCUCCAUGGCUUAUUCAAUCCGUGGCCUCU
rnacentral:sRNA from 1 species